GAUGAACGCUGGCGGCGUGCCUAAUACAUGCAAGUCGAGCGAAUGGAUUAAGAGCUUGCUCUUAUGAAGUUAGCGGCGGACGGGUGAGUAACACGUGGGUAACCUGCCCAUAAGACUGGGAUAACUCCGGGAAACCGGGGCUAAUACCGGAUAACAUUUUGAACCGCAUGGUUCGAAAUUGAAAGGCGGCUUCGGCUGUCACUUAUGGAUGGACCCGCGUCGCGUUAGCUAGUUGGUGAGGUAACGGCUCACCAAGGCAACGAUGCGUAGCCGACCUGAGAGGGUGAUCGGCCACACUGGGACUGAAACACGGCCCAGACUCCUACGGGAGGCAGCAGUAGGGAAUCUUCCGCAAUGGACGAAAGUCUGACGGAGCAACGCCGCGUGAGUGAUGAAGGCUUUCGGGUCGUAAAACUCUGUUGUUAGGGAAGAACAAGUGCUAGUUGAAUAAGCUGGCACCUUGACGGUACCUAACCAGAAGGCCACGGCUAACUACGUGCCAGCCGCCGCAGUAA
rnacentral:rRNA from 1 species